GGACGGGUGGGUGAGAGGCUCAAACCGCCGGACUGUAAAUCCGGAGCUCGAAAGGCGUCGCUGGUUCGAAUCCAGCCCUGUCCACCA
rnacentral:tRNA from 4 species